rnacentral:rRNA from 1 species
UACGAAGGGGGCUAGCGUUGCUCGGAAUCACUGGGCGUAAAGGGUGCGUAGGCGGGUCUUUAAGUCAGGUGUGAAAUUUCGGAGCUUAACUCCGAAACUGCAUUUGAUACUGGCGUGCUUGAGGACUGGAGAGGAGACUGGAAUUCAUGGUGUAGCAGUGAAAUGCGUAGAGAUCAUGAGGAAGACCAGUGGCGAAGGCGGGUCUCUGGACAGUUCCUGACGCUGAGGCACGAAGGCCAGGGGAGCAAACGGG